UCAUGUGAGAUUACCCGCUGAAUUUAAGCAUAUUACUUAGCGGAGGAAAAGAAACUAACAAGGAUUCCCUUAGUAGCGGCGAGCGAAACGGGAAAAGUCCAGCACUGAAUCCCUCGUCCAUUGGGCGAUGGGAAAUGUAGUGUUUGGGAGUGUCCGUUAACUCGAAGCUAAACAGCUAGUCCAAGUCCGAUCUUUAAUGGGGCCAUUGCCCAUAGAGGGUGCCAGGCCCGUAGAGGCAGCUGUUGGCUUCGAGCGUGGGCGUCUCCUUAGAGUCGGGUUGCUUGAGAGUGCAGCCCUAAGCCGGUGGUAUACUCCAUCUAAGACUAAAUAUGACCACGAGACCGAUAGCAAACAAGUACCGUGAGGGAAAGUUGAAAAGAACUUUGAAGAGAGAGUUCAAUAGUACGUGAAACCGUUUAGGGGUAAACACGUGAAACUCGAUUCUAGUGCAGGGAGAUUCAGUAUUGGCCGCGGCGGUCGUGCCGGAUGUUUGGUGAGUCGGUUGUGCAAACUCUGGUUUCGGCUAGGGCGCGUGCACCAUUGCCCGUUCGGUAUUGUGCCGUUGCAUGUGCCAGUACGCACUUCUCCCUGCGUAUACUACGUCGCGACCGGUUGGUAUUAUGGGUGAUUGAAUUCACCUCGUGGGGACCUACGGCCCGUGUCGCAGCCUGGUUCGGUCUUAGCGUUCUUGUAAUGCGGACCGGCCAGAGGCAUGGUGUUUCCCGGAUCCCUCACCGACCGUAGCAAAUGAAGGUGGUAGCCCGCGCUACGUGCGCGUCCAUAGUCGCUUUCGGUCUUAAUGCGGUCGUGUUUGCCGGUCACCGAACGGGCUUGUCCCUUCGGCCUGUGCCACGUCGUGUUUGUAGGACCGAUCGAGUCAACAUUUGGACCGUGGCUUUACUUACACCAGUCAUGCGACGCUUUUGUAUCGGGCAGAUUACGUGACCCGUCUUGUAACACGGACCAAGGAGUCUGACAUGUGUGCGAGUCAACGGGCUAGUAAACCCGUAAGGCGCAAGGAAGCUGACUGGCGGGAUCCCCUCGAGGGUUGCACCGCCGACCGACCUUGAUCUUCUGAGAAGGGUUCGAGUGAGAGCAUACCUGUCGGGACCCGAAAGAUGGUGAACUAUGCUUGGGAAAGGCGAAGCCAGGGGAAACUCUGGUGGAGGCUUGUAGAGGUACUGACGUGCAAAUCGUUCUUCUGACCUGAGUAUAGGGGCGAAAGACUUAUCGAACCAUCUAGUAGCUGGUUCCCUCCGAAAUUUCCCUUAGG
rnacentral:rRNA from 1 species